GAUGAACGCUGGCGGCGUGCCUAAUACAUGCAAGUAGAACGCUGAAGGAGGAGCUUGCUCUUCUGGAUGAGUUGCGAACGGGUGAGUAACGCGUAGGUAACCUGCCUGGUAGCGGGGGAUAACUAUUGGAAACGAUAGCUAAUACCGCAUGACAACAGUUAUUGCAUGAUAACUGUUUAAAAGGGGCAACUGCUCCACUACCAGAUGGACCUGCGUUGUAUUAGCUAGUUGGUGAGGUAACGGCUCACCAAGGCGACGAUACAUAGCCGACCUGAGAGGGUGAUCGGCCACACUGGGACUGAGACACGGCCCAGACUCCUACGGGAGGCAGCAGUAGGGAAUCUUCGGCAAGGGACGGAAGUCUGACCGAGCAACGCCGCGGGAGUGAAGAAGGGUUUCGGAUCGUAAAGCUCGGUUGUAAGAGAAGAACGAGUGUGAGAGUGGAAAGUUCACACUGUGACGGUAUCUUACCAGAAAGGGACGGCUAACUACGUG
rnacentral:rRNA from 1 species